GAAAAUGUUGUUGUGCUUAUGUUAUCAAUAUUAUUGUGUUUAUGUUACAUUACAUACCAGUUAAUAUACAAACAAAACAAUAUAGAAAAUGGCUAAUAUUGAAAACAGACAAAAAAAUACACGUACUAGAAAGCGAAGAUCAAAUAGUGAUAGUGAAUUGGUGCUAGCCAACUAUUCAGAAAAGUGUUUUUCAGCAUCAUCUCCUGAUCAAAAAUAUUUCUUUAAUCCUUCUAUUGGAAUCAAUUCGUAUGCAAUUGAUGACAUUGACAUUUCUGCAGAUAAUCCAUUUUUCAAUGCUCGUUUUACAAUGGAUCCUGCACAGAUGUUUAUGCCUGUUAAAGAACAUGAUGCAUCAUUGAACAUAAGUGUAUCUUCAACACAAAUUGAAAAUAAUCCAACAGAACUUUGCAAAAACGAACAUGAAUUCAUGAACUCUGAAUACCUAAAUAAUGUUAAUUCUCAGCAGGAUUUUCAAACUGUUAGCAUAAGCAAAGACUUUGAAAUGGUUUCUUAUAUACAAAAUUCAACUGAAAAAAAAGACUUUGAAAAUCCUUAUAUUCAAAAUUCAGCUGAAAAAAAAGAGUGUGUUAACAAAAUGUGGAGUCUAAUGAAGGAAGAUAAAAAAAAUCUUAUUGAGAAAGGUUUAGAAUGGAAAAGUGGGUUAUGGAGUCCUGGAGAGGAAAUCAUUUUACAAUCUAAUAUCACCAAAUAUUGUAAAAAAAAUGGUUUAUCUGAUGCAUCCAUAAUGAUAUUUUCAACUCCCAGAGAAAAGAGAAAGGAAUUUUAUCGAUCUAUAGCAAUUGGUCUUAACCGACCAUUAUUCACUAUUUAUCGAAAAGUUUUAAGAAUGUGCAAUGAAAAAAACUAUGUUGGAAAGUAUACACAGGUUGAAGUUGAAAAACUUGCUGAACUUUGUCGUAUUCACGGGAAUGAUUGGGCUACAAUAGGGCAUCAUCUCGGAAGAAGUCCUGGAUCAGUAAGAGAUAAAGCAAGACUUCUUAAAUGUCAUAAAAAGAGAGGUAAAUGGAGUGAAGAUGAGUUAAAACAUUUAUCAGACAUUGUUCAUGCUCAAACAAAUACUAAAAAAGGAGAAAGUAUAACUGGAGGAAUAAACUGGGCAAAAGUAGCUGAAAAUAUUGAGACAAGAACUGAAAAACAAUGUCGAUCAAAAUGGUUAAACUUUUUGAAUUGGUCUGAAACUGGUGGUAAAAAAUGGAAUAAAUUUUGUGAUUUAGAGCUUAUCAGUAAAGUUAUAGUACCCACAUCAGCUGUCAGUCCUGCUUAGCCACCAUAUUAGUGGAGCCAUGUUUAUUUUUACCCCUGAUUUAAAGUAUCAUGUUGACAGCAAAUAGUUUCUACUCUAUGAUAUCAAAACAGAGAAGUGUGACAAGUAUUUUAUCAGAAUUGGAAAUUUAAAUGUUAUCAAUGAGUCAAAAAUUGAUUGGAGCAAUCUGGCUAAAGAUUGGUGCAGUGUUCGUUCACCACAGUGGUUAAAACACAGAUGGCACGGAAU
rnacentral:misc_RNA from 1 species